rnacentral:misc_RNA from 1 species
GAUGAAGAACGUAGCAAAAUGCGAUAAGUAGUGUGAAUUGCAGAAUUCAGUGAAUCAUCGAAUCUUUGAACGCACAUUGCGCCCUCUGGUAUUCCGGAGGGCAUGCCUGUUCGAGCGUCAUUAAAACUACUCAAGCUAAGGUUUUUUUUACCUUCUGCUUGGUCUUGGGUUUGAGGAUUCAAAAUCCUCUCUCCGAAAUCCAGUGGCGAAUUGUUUGAGCUGUAGACGUAGUAAAUCAUUCUACCCGUUGCAAGCGAGAAUAAUAUUCAGCCAUAACCCCCAUACUUUUCUAGUUUGACCUCGGAUCAGGUAGGGAUACCCGCUGAACUUAAGCAUAUCAAUAAGCGGAGGA